UCUCCUGACCUUGUGAUCCGCCCGCCUCGGCCUCCCAAAGUGCUGGGAUUACAGGCGUGAGCCACCGCGCCCGGCCGCAUCUUUUCUUUUUCUCCUUUUUCCCAACUACUGCUGUGCUUUCUGGCUUUGUGCCUUCCUUCUUUGCUUCCUCUCCCAUCACUCCACAGACAAGGAGGCUCUGUCCAAGCUCCUGUCCUGGCUCGCUCAGCCCAGCCUUCAGGUUCUCAGCCCAACACGAGGGUCUCCUUGGGUAGUCAGCUCAAUCAUUUCAAGCUAUUAAUCAACGGACUUCUCCUGAAUGCAUCCAGACCUCUCCUCAAGACAGGCUCUUGCUCCGUCGCCCAGGCUGAAGUGCAGUGGAGCGAUCACGAUCACGGUUCGCUGCAGCUUCAAACUCCUGAGCUCAAACGAUCCUCCCCGCUCAGCCUCCCAAGUAGCUGGGACUACUGGCACAUGCCACCACCCCUGGCUGAAAAUCACUCAUUUUUAAUGAGAAAAUGAAGCGGGAAAGGAAGCUACUCACAACAGCAACAAGAUCCGUACUAUAACCAAGAAUGAAACCAGAAUAUAGAGUUUUUGUGAUUAGAACGGGCAAAUAAAAGAACAAAGCUGAGUGGAGAGUCCAGAAUUCUCAGCCACUCCACUCCUAAGAAUCUGCCGUUUUUAAAAAGUGGACAUGUGCACAAAGGUAUACGUACAAAGAGGCUCAGAAAUAACAUUUGCAAGGGCAAAAACAUUGAGGCCAAUGCGAGUUUUUAUCAACAGGAGAAUGGUUAAAUGAAUAAUGUUAUAUCACAUUUGCAGUGUUUUAUUUAGAAAGGAAGCAUUGCUGUGAGUUCUGACAUGGAAUGAUCUCGGUGGUAUAUUGAAAAGCAAGUUCUAAUAUAAUUCCUCAAGCAUAAAAAAAACUAUAUGUUGAUAUAUUUAUGGAUAGAGGUAAUUGCAUAGAAAAAUGCCUGGAAAGAUACAUGUCAAACCAUUAUUGUGGUUAGUUCUGGGGGCCAUUUCCUUUAGAAAUUUUCUAUGAGAAUGGCCGGGUGCGGUGGCUCAUGCCUGUAAUCCUAGC
rnacentral:lncRNA from 1 species